GCCUCCUUGGGGUGCGCCUCGAUGAGCUAGUGCUCCUUUCCUCCCUUCGGGCGCUUGGGACUGUGCCUGGUACGCCUUGCGCUUGAGGCGCGCCUUUAACAACAGUGCAGCUACCUUCCAAAACCCUAGACACUAAAAACUAGAAAACUCUAACUUUAGCAUUUUGAAAUUUUGAGAUGCUACUCCAACCACUAAGGUAACUAAAUGCUCCAAACCAACAAUUGUGGCCCAAAUGCCAAAUGCUAGUUCUCAACCACUAAUUCAAACACCACCUAAUAUUCUCUAUAAAGGGGUACCAGGAAGUGACAAAUAACACCUAGAAGGGGGCAUUUCCUU
rnacentral:misc_RNA from 1 species